ACCAAAAUAUAGGCAUGACUUCUGCCAGAAGCCUGAAGAGGUCAUUGUGACUAUAUUUGCAAAGGGCUUACCAGCCAGUAGUGUUACCGUUGACUUUGGUGAACAAAUACUAAGUGUUAGCAUCACUGUUCCUGGUGAAGACUCGUAUAUUUUUCAACAUCGCUUAUUUGGGAAGAUAAUACCUGCCAAGUGUAGAUAUGAUGUUUUGUCUACAAAGGUUGAAAUCCGCCUUGCGAAGGCUGAUCCUGUACAACUGUUGGUUCCUUCUUGUAUUC
rnacentral:misc_RNA from 1 species